GGACCCAUAGCUCAGCGGUUAGAGCAUCUGAUUCCAGCAAAACCGGCAAGUACUAGAUUGUGCUAGUAAGGUACUGCCUCCAGAAGGUCAUCCGUUCAAAUCGGGUUGGGUUCA